rnacentral:rRNA from 1 species
UACGAAGGGGGCUAGCGUUGCUCGGAAUCACUGGGCGUAAAGGGUGCGUAGGCGGGGCUUUAAGUCAGUGGUGAAAGCUCCGAGCUUAACUCGGAAACUGCCAUUGAUACUAUAGGUCUUGAAUUCGGUCGAGGUUGGCGGAAUGUGUCGUGUAGCGGUGAAAUGCUUAGAUAUGACACAGAACACCGAUUGCGAAGGCAGCUAGCUAGACCGACAUUGACGCUGAGGCACGAAAGCGUGGGGAUCAAACAGG